rnacentral:rRNA from 1 species
CCUACGGGUGGCAGCAGUGAGGAAUAUUGGUCAAUGGGCGUAAGCCUGAACCAGCCAAGUCGCGUGAGGGAUGAAGGUUCUAUGGAUCGUAAACCUCUUUUAUAAGGGAAUAAAGUGUGGGACGUGUCCUGUUUUGUAUGUACCUUAUGAAUAAGGAUCGGCUAACUCCGUGCCAGCAGCCGCGGUAAUACGGAGGAUCCGAGCGUUAUACGGCUUUAUUGGGUUUAAAGGGUGCGUAGGCUGCCUUUUAAGUCAGCGGUGAAAGUCUGUGGCUCAACCAUAGAAUGGCCGUUGAAACUGUGUGGCUUGAGUAUGUUUGAGGCAGGCGGAAGGCGUGGUGUAGCGGUGAAAUGCUUAGAUAUCACGCAGAACCCCGAUUGCGAAGGCAGCCUUCCAAGCCAUGACUGACGCUGAUGCACGAAAGCGUGGGGAUCAAACAGGAUUAGAUACCCCUGUAGUC